rnacentral:pre_miRNA from 1 species
UAGUUGCCAUUCUUUGGUUAUCUAGCUGUGUGAGGUUUAGCUUCAGUCAGCUCUUAUUUUCACAAGGCUAGAUUUCCAAACAAACGCAUCUAA